rnacentral:rRNA from 1 species
AGAGUUUGAUCAUGGCUCAGGAUAAACGCUGGCGGCGUGCCUAACACAUGCAAGUCGAACGCCCUUAGCAAUAAGGGAGUGGCGGACGGGUGAGUAACACGUGGGCAAUCUACCCAUGGGUGAGGAAUACCGGCGAGAAAUCGCCGACAAUACCGCAUAAGCUCGGCAACGAGCAAAGCUCGCAAGAGCGCCGAUGGAUG